ACUCCUACGGGAGGCAGCAGUAGGGAAUCUUCCACAAUGGGCGCAAGCCUGAUGGAGCAACACCGCGUGAGUGAAGAAGGGUUUCGGCUCGUAAAGCUCUGUUGUUAAAGAAGAACACGUAUGAGAGUAACUGUUCAUACGUUGACGGUAUUUAACCAGAAAGUCACGGCUAACUACGUGCCAGCAGCCGCGGUAAUACGUAGGUGGCAAGCGUUAUCCGGAUUUAUUGGGGCGUAAAGAGAGUGCAGGCGGUUUUCUAAGUCUGAUGUGAAAGCCUUCGGCUUAACCGGAGAAGUGCAUCGGAAACUGGAUAACUUGAGUGCAGAAGAGGGUAGUGGAACUCCAUGUGUAGCGGUGGAAUGCGUAGAUAUAUGGAAGAACACCAGUGGCGAAGGCGGCUACCUGGUCUGCAACUGACGCUGAGACUCGAAAGCAUGGGUAGCGAACAGGAUUAG
rnacentral:rRNA from 1 species